AUGCCAGCCCCAAAGAGAGGAGCAUCUCCUCGUGAUUCUCAGCCCAAGAUGAGGAAGUUGGACGAUGAUGGAGAGGAUCUGCCAUCCAAAACUUCACCAGCUGCCAACAAUCGCUCCUUUGUAACUGGAAAUACACAAGAAAAUGCUCCCGACCCGCGGACUAAGAAAAAACUUUGUACUUCAGUGGAAUGGGGGAAUAAACCCGCCAAGUCGUCCAAACCGAGUUCCCCUCCAAAAGAUUCCAGCAGAACCGUUAGUGAUCCACCCGUCAUAAAAGCCAAGCUCCUAAAAGCCACAAGUGCCUCCGGCGGAGAAGCUCCCUCACAGAACGCAAACACCAAAGCCGCCCUGAAGCGAACCGCCUCCACAGAGUCCGAGGAUGAACUGAGUAGUGACGGCAGUAAGGCCGACCUCUUCAGAGAGAGGAUCGAUGGCGACGAGGCCUGCUGCGUGAGAAAAUAUUCUAAUAAAUUCAAAGUCCAGCGCACCGCUGAAGACUCUGCAUCCGACACGCGGGAGGCAAGCGGAGAGUCGCCGCCGCCGCCUGCCCCCGCGGACCCCGUUCAGUUGGAGCAUAACUAUGGUAGAUUUUCUGACUCGAGUGUGGGAGACGAGAAUCAGGGCGACGAUGAAGAAUCUGGACUGUCUGACACCGAACAACACGGGCAAGAAAUGUCAGUUAAUGCCACACGAGCAGAGUCUGAGGAAACUCGUAUCUCUAUAGGAGGGAGUGCAGAAGCCGGGAUUGUAUUUGAACGCACAGCUGAUGAAAGUUUCCGUGAGGAGUUAAAAGAUCCAGAGAGCCAAAAGCUCGUAGAUGAUGACACACAGGCAUCAUGUGGAGGAAUAUUGGCCUCUGUCACUGCAGCAGCUGCAGGUUCGCCUUGCAUCCUGUCUGAGGAGGCGGAGGAUAAUGAAAAGACCGACUUUGUCACCAAAAGCCAAAAGGACUUGGAUAAUGAAUCACCGGCAGUGUCAGUGGAAACGCUGUAUUCUGGAGAGGCAGUUCCAGGCUGUGAAGGUGAAGUACAGGUAGAUGAAACUACGGUUUGUAUAGUUGAGACGGAUGUGAGCUGGGAGACUGAAACAAAGGAGUCCGUUUCUGAGCAGAUAAAGCUGGAUGUCCAAUGUAGAAGUAAGGGAGGAGAGCAUGUGGUGCAGGAAGUGAUAGAAUCAGCCAGUGUCUCUGCAAACCACGGUGAUGUAGAACACAACGUAUUGUUUGACGAAACAAACUCUGCACCAGAGGAGACCUUGGUAGGCAAUAAUCCAGAAAGUCAGACUGAUGAACAUCCAACAGAGACCCGAACAGACGUCGGUGUCAAAAUACAAGUUACCUUCGAAGAGGAAUCCGAAUCAGCGGAUCGAGUGAGCCGUGAAGUGCCAUGCACAGUUACCCAAUCAUGUGACGUUGUGAACAAGCUGGCAACAGAGUCUGAAGAGCAGCUUGAAGAAAGUGAAAGGGGAGCCGCGGAGACGCCGACUCUCGCUGGUCCCGAGUCUUCUGCGGAGCUCCAAGAGAUGCCGGACCUAACGGCCGACAGCUGUACGGAAAUAAUGACUCCAGAUUGCGAGUCUGUCCUCGAGCAAAAUCAAAGCGAGCCCCUCCCCGAUCGUGUCGCAGUGUCACACGGUCCAAGGGAUGAGGACAUGCAGACCAAAAUAUCCCCAGAGGAGCGCUCUGACUUGCCACCUGAAGCGGGAAAACAAAACCAGGGAAGCCACGAAGUUGCAGACCACGCUUCAGGAAUACCGGUUGAAGUCCAAGGCGAGGAAAUGACAGAAAAAGUAACGGAUUUAAGCUUUGAAUGUGCCGCCGCAUCACUAGAGCAGGAGAUUUACAAUCAAGUGGCUGCAGUGGAAAUACAAAGCCAGAAUAACCCCGAUGCCUGUGAACACACCACGGACAUAUCUACCGAAUUCACAGAGAAUCGUGUGUUGAAUUCUAAAAUAAUUGAAGAUAAGGAGGACAUCUUUGAAUGUACUAGUAGUGGUCCUGAGGAAAACACUAUAACUGCAUCGGAGAUUUCUAAUCACGCGUCAAGAGAAGAAUUUGAAAGCCCAAAGAGACCGGAAGACAGUGAACACACCAUGGACGCGCCUGAUAAAGUGCAGACAGUUCAAGCUGAAGGCGAGACCCCGGCUGAAUGCGUUGUUCCUACUGAGGGUCAAAUAGAAGCCAGGACACCGGAGGAGAUUUCUAACAUUGCACCUACAGUGGAAGUAAAAAGUCAGGAAAACACUCCCACACACACAUCUACUGCACAUCAUGAAGAUCACAAGGUGGAAAACCAGUUAAACUUAUCUGAAUCUGUGACUGCACCAGAGAGUCCAAUCCAAUUAGAAACUCCGACAACAUCGACAUCUGAUGUUUCAAAUCUGGAAGCUUCAGUGGAAAUAGUGAAAAGACAAAUAGAGGUGGACAUGCAGACUGCGACGGCCUCCGAGGAGACACCUGACAUGGCACCGACAGUGGAAACAAGUCCAAAACAUCAACAUGAAGGAAAGGUGGAGAUUUCUAACAUGGCGCCUACGGUAGAAACGCAGAACCAGCAGAGCCCAGAAGUCCUUAUUGAACCCGCUACAGACGUAGUUUCUGGACAUCAUGGGGAAGAAAAUAAAGUCAUGUUUGACUCUGUGAAUAUACCAGAGAGGGAAAUGGAAAUGCAGAAUACGUCACCACAAGAGGUUUCAAAUACAGACUCUUCAGUGGAAAUGGAGACUACAACAGCAUCAGAGGAGACGCCUAACACGGCUUCAGCAGUGGAAAUACCAAGUCGGAAACAUCAGCAUGAAGGAGACGUGGCGACUUCGGCAAAAUCAGUGGAGAUUUCUGAGAUGGCGCCUACGGUAGAAACGCAGAACCAGCAGAGCCCCGAAGUCAUCAAAGCUGCUACAGAGGUAGCGUUUAGAUGUCGUAGAGAACAAAACAUGUUUGAAUCUGUGAUUAUACCAGAAAUUGAAAUGCAGACUACAACGCCAGCAGAGGUUUCACAUACAGAGUCUUCAGCGGAAAUGGAGAAAAGGCAAAUAGAAGUGGACACGCAGACUACGACGGCCUCAGAGGAGAUACCGAACACAGCUUCAGCAGUGGAAAUACCAAGUCAGAAACAUCAACAUGAGGAAAAGGUGGAGGUUUCCAACUUGGCACCUACGGUAGAAACGCAGAACCAGAAGAGCCCCGAAGUCCUUCAACCAGCUACAGACGUAGUCUCUAGACAUCAAGGGGAAGAGAACAUGCAGACUACGGCGGCCUCAGAGGAGAUACCCAACGCAGCUUCAACAGUGGAAAUACUAAUUCAGAAAAGUCCAAAUGAGGUCAUCGCAGCAACGGCAGCGGAGAUCUCUAACACGGCGCCUGCAGUAGAAAUGUGGGCCGAGAGGAGCCAAGAAGUCAGCGAUCCUUCACCAGCCUUCAUCCACCUCCAACCAGGUGGACCUGAGAAAGCUCAAGAGGGUCCAACGAUUCAGACCCAUGAAAGCGAUGGAAAUGAAAACAGAGAAAGUGUCACGGUACCCGAGAAUAAAGGGGAUGUGGAUUCAGAGACGACUGCAGCACCAGAGGAGACCUCUCAUCAGCCAACCGCAGUAGAAACAGAAAACGGGACAACCCUGAAGGUCGAUGAAGUACUUAAAGAAUGUAUUGAUGCCAAUACAGAGCGCGAAGAAAACACCGAAGAGCUUCUUGCAGAAUGGGCGCAUGCCACUGACAAUCAAACAGAAAUGGAUGCGCAAACAACAGCGACGGCAGAUGAGGUGUCUAAUCCAUCACCUACAGCGGAAAUACAAAGCCCUGUGAGCCCGGAGGUCAGUGAACGCCACACAGAAGUUCAAAAGCAUCUAGUGGGCGUAAGCUGUGAGCGCGAGGAGACCGAAGACACGGUUGAGGCUGAAUGUGUUGAUGUUCCACAGGAUGAGAUAAAUAUGGACACUUCUGCAACGCUGGAGGAGGUUUCCACUGCGGCGGAACAGCAAAACCAAGAUAUGGAGGCCUCAUCUAAUCAAACUCCCAAAUCUCCUUCCGUGGCAGAAAGUAAAGAUAAUGAAAACACGCCGACGGAGCACGGUGCUGGUGAUGUCCAAGUGGAUAUGGAUGUAGUAAGUGCAGCAAUAGGAGGGACAGAUUCUGCUUCAGAGGAGGCAAGCGGGGGGCGAGAGAUUAAUGAGGUGAAAGAAGAUGUCGCAAUCAUUUCCUCCGAUAAGGCCGACGGUGACGUGGUCGCAGUCGGUAAUAUUGAAGGACAUGCAGAAGGAACCGGAAGCAAUGAAGUAAUGCUUUUUGUUUGUGGCCAACCGCACAACGUUGAUAUCGUAACUCCGGCGGAGGAAGAGCAGAUUAAGACGGCGAGUCAGUCGGGGGUUGAGAUAGUGUAUGAGCCCAUUAGUAGCCCGGAAAGUACCGACGAUCGAGAGAUUUCCACGGCGUCAGAGAACCACAAUGGUUUGUCUUUACUGGACAUACAGAGCGCCCAGCAGCUGGAAGCAGAUUUGCCUACUGAUGAAGGAAACCGUUGUAGCAAACCACUGGAAAAUGUCGAGCAACAGGUUUUCCUUGCAGGCGGCCAAGAAGUUGAAAGUCAAGCGCACACCGUCAGAGUGCCAGAGAGUUGCGUCCCUGCACAGUUGGAGCAGAGGCGCGUGAGCGAGGACGUGAAGCAAGUCGCAGUAAUCAGCUCUAGCGAUGACGUCAGCGUGCCAGAUGGCCACUCGGGAGAUGCCCCGGACACAAGUGAAAGGAAUUGGUCUCCGGACUGCGUCGGCGCCGCAGGGUCUCUGGACAACGUGCAGGACGACUCUGGAGCUCAGGAGGUUUCAGACGUCACAGUGACGACGACGACGUCUGCUGCCGCGGCCAAAGUGGAGAUUCCCGACAGUACGUCAGAGGAGUUUGUGAUCUUGGAAGCGAUCCAAGAGCGAGAAAUUCACUUCGAUAUUGUCACUCAAGCAGCCGCCGAAUCGGGUUUGUCGGACUCUCUUUUGGAGCAGGUGAAUCCAGACAGCGCUGUGGAAGGUGAUGUGGAAAAUGAAAUGAUUUUUAAUGGUUCCCAACGAAUCGUCUUCCCGGAGGCCGAAGCGCAGAAAUGUCCGACAACAGACAAGAUCAAAGUCAGAAAUACGAACGAGGUUUUAGAUCCCGGGAGCAUGCUGACGGAAAUCUCUACCGAGGAAGGUGUUGAAGUUCCUCCGAAUUCCGAUCAGAGCCACUUACCAUCAUGCGCCAUGACGGACAGUGAUACCUCCGAGAUUGAAACGGCGAACGCUCCCGCUCAAGUCACAAAUGAAGACUGCGACGCGCUGGCGACGGAGAACGCUGAGGCUCAUUUGGACCUGCCAGAAGUGCAGAUUCUGGAGGACAUAGAGAUCGGCCGUGAGAUCGUAGUAGCAGAAGAAGAGAACGAUGAAGACGGUGACAUUCAAAUAAUAGAAAAACCCCAGGAAACACCCGAGGCCAUCCCUCCUGAGGAGUCCGAGAAAAGGGUUGAUGAGAAAACUAAAGACGACACUUGUGGGACCAGUUCACAGCAAGACGGCGCUGCUGUAAAGUCUGAAGCAGAAAAAAAAGAGACCGGGGCCGGAUAA
ensembl:lncRNA